rnacentral:lncRNA from 1 species
AGCCAUUAGUCAUGUUCUCUAUAAUACCAGCACUUCUGGGCCUGGAACGGUAGAGAUUUGAUCACAGUUUAAAGCUUGUGUGUGUGUGUGCGUGAGUGCGCGUGUGUGUAUAUGGGAAGUAGGGGCAAAUUUUAACAAAAUUCCACCUGGCUGCUUUUGAGCUUCCAAGUUUGAGAGAAGAAAAUUGGUGUUGGCAUGCUAAGACUUUCCAAUGUUUCAACUAAGAUAUCACCUUCUGCUAGAAGACAAUUCUGAUCCGCUUUAAGGUCUCAGCUUCCUGGAGAAAUUGGACUUCAAAAGUUCUUCCCCUUAUAAAUCUUGCAAUCCCACCUAAGGAUAGGAACACAACAGAACAACUCAUGUUGACUUUGCUUCCAUUUCUCUACCAAAAGAAACAAUCUGUUAACUCUGAAAAGUAAAACAAAACAAAACAAAACCAAAAAAAAGGAUAAUAAGCAAGCUGAUGCCUGAGAAAAAUAUACAUGAUCCAGGACAACUCCAAAGGACUCAUUACAAAAAAAGGAUAUCCACUGCCAUAAAGGAACAGAUGGAGUCCAAAAGCAGACUGAAACAUACCAUUCUUCACUUUAUUUCCUCUUUGAAUUUUUCUCUGUUGUAAGCAAUAUGCAUCUUGUUUCACAACAUGACAAAUAUAGAAUAUGUAUUAUAUGAUAAUAUAUGUACAACCUAUAUCAUAUUACCUGC